CGAUUAAAUUAAAAAUUAUCAAAAUCGGUACACCCAGUAAAAAGUUAUUGCGGAUUUUCAAGAAUUUCCAUCAAUUUCUCUAGGAUCCCAUCAUCAGAUCCUGGUUUCCUUAUUACGGUACCAAACUAGGGAUAUCCCCUUUCCAACAAAAAAAGAAUUAUCAAAAUCGGUACAUCCAGUAGAAAGUUAUGCGGUAUAGUACAACGUAGGUCGACGAAAAAAGCGUCAAGUAAAAACGCAUUAUUAGAUAUAACUCGAAAAGUAGUUGUUAGAUCUCAAAUAAAUUU
rnacentral:misc_RNA from 1 species